AUAGAAAUUGCGAUAACAAAAUCCUAAAUAGAAUACUAACAAUGCUCUAAUUAGACUAUAAUAAUGGUAAACAAACGUAAUCCAAUUCAAAACAACUCAAAGAAAUUUCAAACAAACAAUAAAAUUCUUAAAGAAAUAUUAGAAUGAUCACAAAUUUUACUCAAAUAUAUGUCAAUUCAACCUUAAUUUAAUUCUAGUUAAAAUCCUAUUGAAUUACACUCAACUUUAGACCAAACCUAAUUAAAUCUUAAACCCUAAUAAUUCCUAAACCCUAAGUCAAAUCCUAAACAAAUCUUAAAUUAAACCAUAUUCCAAACCCUAAACCCUAAACCAAAUCCUAAAUCAAACCCUAAACCAAACCCUAAUCCAACCCUAAAUCCUAAACCAAACCUUAAAUCAAAUCUUAACCAAACUCUAAUCCAAACCCUAAAUCAAAUCCUAAUCUAAAUCCUAAUCCAAAUCCUAAUCCAACCCUAAACUCUAAUCCAAAUCCUAAACCCUAAACCAAAUCUUAAAUCAAACUCUAAUCCAAAUCCUAAAUCAAACCCUAAACAAACUCUAAACCCUAAUCCAAAUCCUAAUCCAAACCCUAAUCCAAUCCUAAACUCUAAUCCAAAUCCUAAACCCUAAAUCAAACCUUAAAUCAAACUUUAACCAAACCCUAAUCCAAACCCUAAAUCAAACCCUAACCAAAUCCUAAUCCCUAAUCCAAAUCCUAAUCCAAAUCCUAAACCGAACCCUAGCCAAAUCCUAAU
rnacentral:lncRNA from 1 species